UGUAGUUCUAAGCCACUCACACACCUGAGAGCAAGUACAGAAUACUCUAUUAACCAUCGACUUCGCAAUGAUGCAAAGUUGUGAUGGUGUUUACAAUGACCCUUUAAUGAUGGUGGGAGAGGGAGUGGGUGAUGGCCAAUAGUGAUGUGAGAGGGAGAGUACUGAUGAAUAAUGAUGAGAGAGAGCGAUGACUAAUGGUGAUGGGAGGGGGAGGGAGUGAUGCUUAUGUUGAU